rnacentral:rRNA from 1 species
UACGGAGGAUGCAAGCGUUAUCCGGAUUUAUUGGGUUUAAAGGGUGCGCAGGUUGUUUGAUAAGUCAGUGGUGAAAGUCUGUCGCUUAACGGUAGGAUUGCCAUUGAUACUGUUGGACUUGAAUAUGGAUGAGGUAGGCGGAAUGUGUAGUGUAGCGGUGAAAUGCAUAGAUAUUACACAGAACACCGAUUGCGAAGGCAGCUUACUAAUCCAUCAUUGACACUGAGGCACGAAAGCGUGGGGAGCAAACAGGA